UACGUAGGUGGCAAGCGUUGUCCGGAUUUACUGGGCGUAAAGGGUGCGUAGGUGGAUAUUUAAGUCAGAUGUGAAACCCCCAGGCUCAACCUGGGAACUGCAUUUGAAACUGGAUGUCUGGAGUGCAGGAGAGGUAAGUGGAAUUCCUAGUGUAGCGGUGAAAUGCGUAGAGAUUAGGAAGAACACCAGUGGCGAAGGCGACUUACUGGACUGUAACUGACACUGAGGCACGAAAGCGUGGGUAGCAAACAGGAUUAGAUACCCUGGUAGUCCACGCCGUAAACGAUGAGUACUAGGUGUAGGAGGUAUCGACUCCUUCUGUGCCGCAGUUAACACAAUAAGUACUCCGCCUGGGAAGUACGAUCGCAAGAUUAAA
rnacentral:rRNA from 1 species